rnacentral:rRNA from 1 species
UACGUAGGUGGCAAGCGUUGUCCGGAAUUAUUGGGCGUAAAGCGCGCGCAGGUGGUUCUUUAAGUCUGAUGUGAAAGCCCACGGCUCAACCGUGGAAGGUCAUUGGAAACUGGGGAACUUGAGUGCAGAAGAGGAAAGUGGAAUUCCAAGUGUAGCGGUGAAAUGCGUAGAUAUUUGGAGGAACACCGGUGGCGAAGGCGGCAUUCUGGACUGCAACUGACACUGAAAGACGAAAGCCAGGGGAGCAAACAGG